rnacentral:SRP_RNA from 3 species
GUUUGGGUCUCUCGCAAUGGAAUCCUACUGAACCCCGUCAGGUCCGGAAGGAAGCAGCGGUAAGUGGUGAAACCAUGUGCCGGGAGGUUGCCCAAGCAGG